CUUGACUAAUUAUAAGAGGUUUAGCCUGCCCAGUGACACAUGUUCAACGGCCGCGGUAUCCUAACCGUGCGAAGGUAGCGUAAUCACUUGUUCUUUAAAUGAGGACUAGUAUGAACGGCACCACGAAGGUUAUACUGUCUCCUUUCUCUAAUCAGUAAAACUAAUCUCCCCGUGAAGAAGCGAGGAUAAAUUUAUAAGACGAGAAGACCCUAUGGAGCUUUAAACUAACCAGCAUUUGCUAUAUACAAAAUUUUUAACUUCAAAGAUAAUCUAGCCCUCUGACUGGUAAUUUUCGAUUGGGGUGAUCACGGAAUAAAAAUAACCUCCGUGUCGAAAGGGCUCACCUGAGCAAAAAGCGACAGCUUYCCGCACUAAAAAAUUAACGUUUAUUGACCCAAUAUUUUGAUCAACGAAC
rnacentral:rRNA from 1 species